rnacentral:rRNA from 1 species
CAGCCGCCGCGGGAAUACGAAGGGUGCAAGCGUUACUCGGAAUUACUGGGCGUAAAGCGUGCGUAGGUGGUGGUUUAAGUCCGUUGUGAAAGCCCUGGGCUCAACCUGGGAAUUGCAGUGGAUACUGGGUCACUAGAGUGUGGUAGAGGAUAGUGGAAUUUCCGGUGUAGCAGUGAAAUGCGUAGAGAUCGGAAGGAACAUCUGUGGCGAAGGCGACUAUCUGGCCUAAUACUGACGCUGAGGUACGAAAGCAUGGGGAGCAAACAGGAUUAGAUACCCCCGUAGUCCCUGUCUCUUAUAC